CUCUACCCCUUUCGACCAUCAGCAUCUUCCAGUCCAUUUAGGUGUUUGCAAAAUGGGCAGACCCCAGACAACUUUUAUAGGUGUCUGUCAACUGGAAGCAGUUACAGCAGCUAGUUAUCAAGUGCAUGCAUUGGUCUGUUAGUGGGAGAUGUACACAAUGGCAUUGCAAUGAGGAGCUUUUGCAAGUUGAAAUGCACAUCAACACUUCCCUGAGUGCUUUGGAAAUUCAGCUUUCUGUGGCUGCCUGCUUCAAGACUUCAGGUCCAUGAAAAGAUUUUAAACUUCUGGAGCCUAUGAACAAACCCCGCUGUUGUCCUGUCAAGGCUCUGCUGUUCACUGCACUGAAGACCAAGGUCUGCCUCCAAAAGAAAAAGGUGCUGUUUGCCAGACUUCAGAUAAAAUCUAGCUGGGAGGAAUUUCAGGCAACCUUGCAGGCAUUGCUCUUGUGUCACGACAGCUCUGCUUGCACGGGAGCACCAGCCCAGAGAGCCAGUCUGCUGAGAAUUACCCGACGCAGAGAUGAGCCCAACAGAGCCCUGGAGGGGCUUGGGAUUUAGCAGAAG
rnacentral:lncRNA from 14 species